rnacentral:rRNA from 1 species
GUGAGGAAUAUUGGUCAAUGGGCGGGAGCCUGAACCAGCCAAGUCGCGUGAAGGAAGAAGGAUCUAUGGUUCGUAAACUUCUUUUGCAGGGGAAUAAAGUGCGGGACGUGUCCUGUUUUGUAUGUACUGUACGAAUAAGGAUCGGCUAACUCCGUGCCAGCAGCCGCGGUAAUACGGAGGAUCCGAGCGUUAUCCGGAUUUAUUGGGUUUAAAGGGUGCGUAGGUGGAUUGAUAAGUCAGCGGUGAAAGUUUGCAGCUUAACUGUAAAAUUGCCGUUGAAACUGUCGGUCUUGAGUGCAAAUGAGGUAGGCGGAAUGUGUUGUGUAGCGGUGAAAUGCUUAGAUAUAACACAGAACUCCGAUUGCGAAGGCAGCUUACUGGGAUGCAACUGACACUGAUGCACGAAAGCGUGGGUAUCAAACAGGAUUAGAUACCCCUGUAGUCC